CUGGCAAAGUGAAUAUAGAAGAUUUCUGGGAUUCUGUUCUGUUGGAAAUGAUUUCACGUGGCUUCUUUCAAAGUUGUGCAAAGAACAUCUUUGCUGUGAAUCCUAGUUUUGAGCACUGGGCCCCAUGGAUUGGAAAGAAUACACGAAAAUCAGAAAUGGUGUUGAACACAGAGUUUGAAAAAGUUUCCUCCACUUUUCAGAAGUCCUCCACUGAAGCUGAAGUCAGCAUGGUGUCAGAGGACCGUCUAGUGGACGAGCUCAUGAAGCAGAAGGUUUCAACUGUGCGCAAGCUAUGCAAGGCCUGCAAUUUGGAUUCAAAGGGAUCACGGACAGAUCUUGUUAUAAGACUAAGGGAUGAGAUGAAGUCAA